GGCGAACGCUGGCGGCGUGCUUAACACAUGCAAGUCGAACGUGAAAGGGGGCAACCCCUAGUAAAGUGGCGUACGGGUGAGUAACACGUAGGUAAUCUACCCUAGAGUCUGGAAUAACCUGCCGAAAGGCGGGCUAAUACUGGAUAGAGCGAUGGAAUCCGUAAUUGGGUUUUUCGGGAAAGGGAGCCUGAAAGGGCCUUUGCUCUAGGAUGAGCCUGCGUCCCAUUAGCUAGUUGGUGAGGUAACAGCUUACCAAGGCGAUGAUGGGUAGCUGGUCUGAGAGGAUGAUCAGCCACACUGGAACUGAAACACGGUCCAGACUCCUACGGGAGGCAGCAGUGGGGAAUCUUGCGCAAUGGACGAAAGUCUGACGCAGCCACGCCGCGUGAGUGAAGAAGGCCUUCGGGUUGUAAAGCUCUGUCGAGCGGGACGAAAGGUUUGUGGUUUAAGAGACAGCAGAUUUGACGGUACCGCUAGAGGAAGCACCGGCUAACUCCGUGCCAGCCGCCGCCGUAA
rnacentral:rRNA from 1 species